rnacentral:RNase_P_RNA from 1 species
GGCCUGUACCGGACGGCCGCUCGCGGCGCAAGCCGCGGGAGGAAAGUCCGAACACAUGCUUUCGCAAGGAAGCAGCACGGUAGCGGGUAACGCCCGCCGGGAGAAAUCCUAGAGAUGAGAACAGAGACGAGUCUCCGCGCAAGCGGAGGGUGAAACGGCAAAAUUCUUACCUAUGUGCAAGGCCGUGCCCGUCGCAAGACGGGAGUGCCGCUCGAGGCCGGUGGCGACAUCGGUCCCAGAUAAAUGGCCGUCCAGUCCUUCGGGACAGACAGAAUUCGGCUUAUAGGUACAGCAGCAU